rnacentral:rRNA from 1 species
GGCGGUGUGUACAAGGCCCGGGAACGUAUUCACCGUGGCAUUCUGAUCCACGAUUACUAGCGAUUCCGACUUCAUGGAGUCGAGUUGCAGACUCCAAUCCGGACUACGACGCACUUUUUGGGAUUCGCUCACUUUCGCAAGUUGGCCGCCCUCUGUAUGCGCCAUUGUAGCACGUGUGUAGCCCUACUCGUAAGGGCCAUGAUGACUUGACGUCGUCCCCACCUUCCUCCGGUUUAUCACCGGCAGUCUCCCUGGAGUUCCCGACAUUACUCGCUGGCAAACAAGGAUAAGGGUUGCGCUCGUUGCGGGACUUAACCCAACAUUUCACAACACGAGCUGACGACAGCCAUGCAGCACCUGUCUCAGAGUUCCCGAAGGCACCAAUCCAUCUCUGGAAAGUUCUCUGGAUGUCAAGAGUAGGUAAGGUUCUUCGCGUGGCAUCGAAUUAAACCACAUGCUCCACCGCUUGUGCGGGCCCCCGUCAAUUCAUUUGAGUUUUAAUCUUGCGACCGUACUCCCCAGGCGGUCUACUUAACGCGUUAGCUCCGAAAGCCACGGCUCAAGGCCACAACCUCCAAGUAGACAUCGUUUACGGCGUGGACUACCAGGGUAUCUAAUUCUGUUUGCUCCCCACGCUUUCGCAUU